rnacentral:lncRNA from 1 species
UGGUAAGAGCCACUCUCUUUUCCAGUGCUGUGAGUCAUUCAGUCUUCACAAGGUUUUGUCCUCUUCACCAGUCACAAAAAAAUAUUUGUUUGGAAUUUGGUAAACUGAAGUGGAAGUGUCCUCGCCGCUGAGAAUUUACACUGGGACCAGAAUGAUGCCUGCUCUUCCCUCACACAAGGAUGCAGAGCCUAUCGAAGGAAGGGAAUUACAAAAUGACAAGGAGGAGAUUCAAGAAGGAAACAACAACCCAAGAGCAAGGAGGUUGUGAAUCAGCCAAACCUCUGGGAGACAUCAUGCACAGAGGAGGAGACACCAAGACUCCAUGCUCAGGAAAACUGAUAUACUUCUGUUAGUAGUCUUGGGUCUCAUUUGCAUUACCAUGCAUUACCAGUACUUAGAGAUAUGUUUAACUUUAAGGACAUGGGUGAUUGUGGUCUGAAAGCAGCAAUGUGGUUUUAUCUGCUUAUGUGCUCUAUAUUCUCAAAGGGAAACUGUUCCCACUUUUCAGAAACAAAACCUAAGAAUGUGACUGGGAAAAUGAGCC